rnacentral:rRNA from 1 species
CAUCUGGCUCAGGAUAAACGCUGGCGGCGUGCAUGAGACAUGCAAGUCGAACGAACGAGCUUGCUCGUUAGUGGCGGACGGCUGAGUAACGCGUAGGUGACCUGCCCCGAAGUGGGGGAUAACUGCCCGAAAGGGUGGCUAAUACCGCAUGUGGCGACACUUUCAUUGGUGUCAUCAAAGCCGCGAGGCGCUUCGGGAGGGGCCUGCGUCCGAUUAGCUCGUUGGUGGGGUAAUGGCUCACCAAGGCGACGAUCGGUAGGUGGUCUGAGAGGACGAUUACCCAGACUGGGAUGAGACACGAGCCCAGACUCCUACGGGAGGCAGCAGUCGGGUAAUUUUGCUCAUAUGGGCGCAAGUCCUGAAGCAGCAACGCCGCGUGCGGGAUGAAGGCCUUCGGGUUGUAAACCGACUUUUACCAGGGUACGUAUAAUGAACGGGUACCCUCAAUUAAAUAAAGCCACGGGCCUAAACUACGUGC